rnacentral:rRNA from 1 species
UACGGAAGGCAGCAGUGGGGAAUAUUGCACAAUGGGCGCAAGCCUGAUGCAGCCAUGCCGCGUGUAUGAAAAAGGCCUUCGGGUUGUAAAGUACUUUCAGUCGCGAGGAAGGUGUUAAGGUUAAUAACCUUAGCAAUUGACGUUAGCGACAGAAGAAGCACCGGCUAACUCCGUGCCAGCAGCCGCGGUAAUACGGAGGGUGCGAGCGUUAAUCGGAAUUACUGGGCGUAAAGGGCACGCAGGCGGUUAAUUAAGUUGGAUGUGAAAUCCCCGGGCUUAACCUGGGAAUGGCAUUCAAGACUGGUUAGCUAGAGUCUUGUAGAGGGGGUAGAAUUCCAUGUGUAGCGGUGAAAUGCGUAGAGAUGUGGAGGAAUACCGGUGGCGAAGGCGGCCCCUGGACAAAGACUGACGCUCAUGUGCGAAAGCGUGGGGAGCAAACAGGGAUUAGAUACC